UGGAAACAGUUAACUUUGCAUUUUGUUGCUGGGAAAGAAGUAUCCAACUGAUGUGAACCAUGAACCCCUUAGGAAAAUUGAAAAUACAUAGAUUCACAGCAUCUCAGAACUCAAAUUAAAUAUUUAGUGUACAGGCUGGAUCCCUCCUAAUGGAGAGUGUCUGAGACCUUACUCUAAAUAAAGUCAAGCCCAUCAUCAUCAUCCCACAGUGACAUCUUCUCUGAUCAGGACUGAAGCUGAAGCCAGUUAUGACAGUUUGAAAAUGAGAUGUAGUUGGCUGCCUUUAGUGCACGGACCUCCUCAUUAAAUAGAUACACCAAGAAUUGUUACCUAAGCAAGCCUGACAGUAAAGAAAGGAGAGACUGAGUUAGGGAGAAAAAGGGAAGAAAAAAGACAGCCUGAAGCAAGUCACUUCACACGCAGAAAGAGCCACUGAACGAAUGCUGUUCUCAUAAACAAACAAACAAAAAUACCUUGUAUAAGAAAAGAAGAGAA
rnacentral:lncRNA from 1 species